rnacentral:rRNA from 1 species
AUUGAACGCUGGCGGCAGGCCUAACACAUGCAAGUCGAACGGUAACAGGGAUCAGCUUGCUGAUUCGCUGACGAGUGGCGGACGGGUGAGUAAUGUCUGGGAAACUGCCUGAUGGAGGGGGAUAACUACUGGAAACGGUAGCUAAUACCGCAUAACGUCGCAAGACCAAAGAGGGGGACCUUCGGGCCUCUUGCCAUCGGAUGUGCCCAGAUGGGAUUAGCUAGUAGGUGGGGUAACGGCUCACCUAGGCGACGAGCCCUAGCUGGUCUGAGAGGAUGACCAGCCACACCGGAACUGAGACACGGUCCAGACUCCUACGGGAGGCAGCAGUGGGGAAUAUUGCACAAUGGGCGCAAGCCUGAUGCAGCCAUGCCGCGUGUAUGAAGAAGGCCUUCGGGUUGUAAAGUACUUUCAGCGGGGAGGAAGGGAGUAAAGUUAAUACCUUUGCUCAUUGACGUUACCCGCAGAAGAAGCACCGGCUAACUCCGUG